rnacentral:rRNA from 1 species
GUCUACGGCCAUGCUAUCCUGAUCAAGCCUGAUCCCGUCUGAUCUUGGAAGCUAAGCAGGGUCGGGCCUCCUUAGUUAGUGCUUGGAUGGGAGACCACCUAGGAAGACCAGGCGCUGUAGACA